rnacentral:lncRNA from 1 species
GUGCCCCGGCGUUGUAGAUGUGCGUCGUUAAUUUGCGACCCUUCUUGCUGUUCGGUACUUCGUGUUUGGUUGAUAUUCUUGUCGGGAACAUCAUCGUGAAACCUGACUUGAGCUGAUCUGUUCACGGUAUCCAUGGGUGAACCUUCAAGCACCAUUGAGAAUUUGGUGUUGGCCUGUGACAUUCCACUUGCGUCGAGUGUGGCACCGUGAAACUCGCCUGGACAGGAUUCUGGCGAGUUGGAAGUUGGCCGAUCCCUCCCUUGGCCUGGAGCUGUGAAGGCGCAGCAGCCACACGCAUGUCACCUGUGUGACUGACAGCAGAGUUGAUGGCACGAGCUGACCGUUGUAACAGAACCGGAUGGCCCUGCUGACAGCCCACUGACUCAAGAGAUUCAAUUGACAAUGCCAAAGCCAGAAGAAACAUCUAAACCAAAGAAAACGCCACGAGUGUCAAGAGUGAUGACUACCUUGCCCAGACCUUCACCCACAGAAAAACUCGGGGAAAGGAGUGCUCCACCAACCACACAAGUGAACUUGAACUUUCCAAAAGGGAGGAUUGUGACCCCUGUUGCAGCUGUGCCAGACAGCGGUGGAGGUAGUGUCUCUGCGGCAUUAUCAAAGAGCUUUGCGCCAGUGGUUCCUGUAAAACAAUGGCAUAACCCAUAUGCAUCAGUCAGGGAUGUGCCCCCAGCGCCAAUGAUUCGUGUGAAUAAGCCUAGUACAUUGCAACGCCCACUGGGUCAGUUGGAGGCAAACUUAGGCAGGCUAUCCACACUGCCUGUGAUUAACGAAAGUACCAUGCACUCCACUGCUGGCAGGAAUGAUGACACUAUUCUCGUUGUCAAGAAGAUGCAGAAUGGCAUGACUGUGAUCACAGCACAACCGGCGAAAUCCAGCAGAAAGGGGCCAAGCUGUGGUGACAUGUCCCAGGAAUGUUC